rnacentral:rRNA from 1 species
CCUACGGGGGGCAGCAGUGAGGAAUAUUGGUCAAUGGACGCAAGUCUGAACCAGCCAUGCCGCGUGCAGGAAGACGGCUCUAUGAGUUGUAAACUGCUUUUGUACGAGGGUAAACGCAGAUACGCGUAUCUGUCUGCAAGUAUCGUACGAAUAAGGAUCGGCUAACUCCGUGCCAGCAGCCGCGGUAAUACGGAGGAUUCAAGCGUUAUCCGGAUUUAUUGGGUUUAAAGGGUGCGUAGGCGGUCGGAUAAGUUAGAGGUGAAAUGCCGAGGCUCAACUUCGGAAUUGCCUGUGAUACGGUUCGGGUAGAGACGAGUUGCGGUAGGCGGAAUGGAUGGUGUAGCGGGGAAAUGCUUAGAG